AACCUCCUGCCUUGUGUCGACCAAUCAGUUCCCUCCAGCCACUCGUGUCUUGUCCAGGUGUUCCUCGUUGUCUCAUCAAUGUGUUUGUAUUUAGUUCCCUGGUUUCUUUCAUUUCUUGUCUGGUCAUUGUCAUUCUGGUAUGUCAUUGUCAGGUAACAUUGGCCCUAUCUGUUCCACGCCUUUCUCACCAGUCAUAGUUUGUUUCCAGUUUUAGGUAUUCAAGUGUAUCUUUGUUACCUGUUGUGGGACUUUGUUUAGUUUUGCUUUAUCCAUGUUCCUUGUUUGCCCUUUUUGGAGAUCAAAUAUUUUUUUGCCUUGCCUUCCUCUCCUUCGACAACCCCAACCAUGACAGAAUGAACAGGAUCCAGCGGGAAUAACAUGACGUCACCCUGCACGCCACCAGUCUGCCUCCCAGCGCCCUCAGCCUGCCAACCUUACCUACCCUCCUCCAGUAACCCCUAUCGUUCAGUCUUCUGUCUUUUUCACCUAUGUCUGCCACUUUUCCUAGUUAUUCCCCAUGCCCUACAAUUUUACUUCCACAUUGUUUUUUAGAUUCAGAUUUUUCUGACUCAGACGGAUUUUGAUUUUUCCGUUUCCUUCCCUAGUUGUCCCCCGUCCUAGUCAGUUUUUGUCACUUUUCCCCUUUUCCGCUGACCUUUACAUGGGCACCCAUUUAGCAAUUUAUCCAGGACCGCCGCGUGGUGGCCAACUGAGGCGCCAAAGUAAAGGUCAAAUUUUGGACUCGUUCUUUUCUCCUGUACCCAAGUCACUUAAUUUUUCACCAGUUCCCACACCUUGUUCCACGCCUCCAAUUACGUCGCAUCCAUCCAAACCUGCCCCCAAGCCACCUCGUUCUGUAACACUUGUUUUUCCUACCUCACCUUCCUGACUUUCUGUGCACUCUGCCCCACUAGUUUCCUCUGCUCCCAAACCGCAAUGGUGGCAGGCUGAGGAAGCGACUGCAGGCCCCGUUCCUGCUCCUCGUCUGCUGCGGCGGUGCUCAUCAAGCGGCCGACCCCUCUGCGGCUCCGCCAGGCUCCAGUUCUGGCUCCUCUGCAGCUGCGCCAGGCUCCCGUCCCGGAUCCGGUGGCACCCGUCCAGCGGCCGCCACCCAUCCCGUCUCUGACGGCGCCCGUCCAGCGGCCGCCGCCCGUCCCAGCUCCGGCGGCCCCCGUCCUUGCUCCAGCGGCACUGGUCCAGCGGCCGCCACCGGUUCCGGCUCCGGCGGCACUCUUCCAGCGGCCGAAAAAGAAGACCCACUUGUGAGCGCACGCGUGUUUGUAUUGACAGCGCUGGCUCAGAGCCGAGAGAAAAUCGUCUGGGACUCAGGAAUGCCGAGGCGAUUUUAUUUCAUAUUGCAUGUUUAAUGAGGCACCAUAGACGAUAUACCCCAAAUACUAGAAAAAGUUGGUUUGGUGAAAUAUGGCACCUGUACCAUUGCCCAUAUCGCUCACUCAAGUGACCAUAUUGUGAAUGAGGUCUUUUAAUAUGACCGAAGUUGCUUAGUCUAAAAAGUAUCAAGUCUUACUUACUUGAACCAUGCAGAUACCGUGCACAGUAUGUUCAUCAUGAUAUGCUGUGGAAUAAGUUUGCUUUUAGUUGUUCAAGCAUGUUUUUUUUUCUCCUGGGCUUGCAAUCUGCUGCGGCGCAAUCAGGGAAUAGUAGCAACAUGCUGUGUUUUUUAAAAAUCAAAAACUCUCCCUAAUGAAGCAGACAAAUAGUCUUUGGGAUGACUCUGUUUGUUGUUAUAUUUAGCUAAAAAUGUAAAACAAACAUGUAGAGAACAAGUUGCAGCUUUGCACUUUAGUGUAACUUUCAUCUGUCAGGCCGAUCAACUGACCAGACACCCCCCCUCCCAGUGGUGUUAACGGCAUUCUCUGGCCGUGUAAAGCUCCCUAACAAGGAACCUGAUUGUUCUGUUAAUGUGUUACUUCCUGUGGGAGUCACUGCUCUGGAAUAGAGUGCAGCGUCCAGUGCCUGGAGUAACUCCUACAUGGGAACGGGCCCAAACCAGGCCAGGCCUCCACAUAGUCGGGCCGGCGGACAUUCACCCCUUCCUAUGAUGAAAGAUAAGAAUUUUCAUUCAAGUUGCCUGUUCAAGAAGAAAAAAAACCAAGAAAAGUUAUCUCCACAUGAAAACGCUUUUUUUUGAGGGGCCAAAAAAAACCAUUAUCAGCUGAGAUACCGCCAUUCCUCAAUAUAGUGUUAGUAGAUAUAAUGGUAAAAAAAAAAAAAUCCAGAAGGGGCAAAAGUACUACUCACACUUUGUACUUCAAUAAAAGUGCAGAUUAAUGAAGUUUUGAAAGACGGUUGUAAAAGUAGAAGCACUGAUUCAACUCAUUUAAGAGAACAAAAGUACAGACUCUGAAAUAUACCUAUAAGGAAUUUUGUAGUGUUCCCCCUGAAUGGGGUUUUCCUCAAGCCAAUGCAAAGAAGUAUUUAAACCUCAAAAAUGGUUCAGCGUGAACAGAGGUGAGGACACAAUAGGAGAGUACGAGACACGAAAAGCGAGACUGUUCGGCAGAGCUUGUGGGCAGCGGGUCAGCUCCUUGGCAGAGAGUGUGGUGUGUUGCCAUGGCAACUUGCCCGUUUCCCCACCCAAGAGUCACUGUGUGCAAGACUCCAUCAGCAGUGUGAGUGUUGUUCAAGAAGCAGUGGAGAUCAGGGCCUUAAUCAGUCAGCAGCGAUACAAGGGUGAAGAGAGGGGCUGGAGCCUGCAGCUAUUUGGAAGUGCAGCAUCACACAAGCACAGGAGCGCGCACACACAUUCACACACACUCACAGCUCUAGCACAAAGAGUGUAUCGAGUAAACUCAUUCGAAGAAAUGUUUUUGUCAUGAGUGAUUCGCUGGAAAUUAGCAACCACAGUGGUACCUCCUAAGGGCAAACUCAAUCUGUUCCGGGACAAUGGUUUAGAGAACAUUCUUCAUUCACUUCUGAUUAAAUGGUACUACAAGUGUAAAAAUAACAACAACUCUUGAUAGUAAAAACAACAAAACAUUCAGUUUGAACUUUAAUAAAGGUGUAAGCCAAACUGCUUUUUAAAAAAAAUAAUAAUAAUAAUAAAAAAUAAUAAUUAAUGGUCACACACACAGCCUUAAAUAAAAGGUGACCACUAAUAUGGUAACUGGAGUCUUACCACUUAGAAUUUUAGUCUACUUAUUUUUUUACUUCCACUGUAUAUUCUUUUCUGUAUUGCAACAAAUGCCUUUUUUUUUUUUUAAAUCUGAUGUUCAUCCUGAUAUUAUUAACAAGUGCCCAUUCUGUGUUAUGCAUGAAAAUUUGAGAUAGCUAAAAAGAAGACAAAUUUGAGUGCCAGCUCUUAAAUCUUUUUAAUCGGGGAAGCCAAGAUGGCUGUUUAUAUUAGUUGAAGAGACAUAUUGCACUCUGGCCCUAAUUUGAAUGGUGUGGCCUUGAGGAAGUGUAACGUGAAGGCGAGGGUGGUGCUGGAGUUUUGCUUCAAGACCACAGAGAACUUGAGAACUUAUUUGGCUGGAUGGAUGUGUAUAUUCUAAUAAGAUCUCUUACGCCAGCCUUUUUUUUUGUUUUGUUUUUCUUGUUCCGUAGCACCUGGGAUUGCUAUGCUACUCUGUGGGGCAUUAUAGUCCACAUAUCAUAUCGUUUUGGGCAUAUCCUUUUGGUGAUUGCCUCUCUCAACACACUCUUAAAACAUUUGAGGCAUUUACAAUUGUAGGUUAAUGUAAUUAAAUACACUAAAUACCUCCCCUGGGUAACGCUUAGUAUGAAGACGAAAUAUAUGAGGAGAAACUUGUCUAAAGAAUCUAUCUUGAAGUUGUGCUAAGAAACUUAAUAACUGACCGACCAUCUGAUUCACACCCUCUCGGUCCAAGACGUGUUUAUUUCCAGCCUGUGAUUGUAUCAAAUUUGUCCCGUUUUGAAUGUCAUGCUUGGCGGAUACGCAGCGCACACGGGUGGUUUAAAGGAGCCAAAAGCACUUUAUUUAUGUUUGGAUGGCAGCGGGCGCUCAGUGCUGCUUGGCACCACCCACAGUGAGCUGUGGUCUUUGGCACCUCUUUGCAUCCCCCCUGUCCCCCAAACAUGCCGGCUAUCCGACUUCACUGGGCCCCGCUGCAACUUGUGGAUGUAUGCAUAUGCACGUGUCUGGAACGCUGCAUGUAUGCUGUGUUUUCUUGUUUUCAUGUGCCGAGCUGUGAUAUUUUCUACCCUGAAGAUUACAUGAAAGCCAACAGAGCUGCACUUUAUUUCAAAGGUUGCUCCUUUAAUCAAGCCCCGAGAAGUUUUACAGCAAUUUAAACUAAUCUCUUGUCCACCAAAGGUCGUGGAAGCUCGCAUCAAAAAUAAUGCAUGAAUUAAGAUGAAUUCAUUCACCACUGGGUAAUCUUUUACUUUUUUUUUUUUUUUCUAUUUGACACUUAUAAGACGUCACAUGAAGGGCUUGACUCGUGUAGCAAUGUAUUGCGCAGUGCACAUUCUAAUCUUCCCUUUGCUGUGCUUAUGCUGCCAGGACCGCCACUGAGUGCAGCCAUUUAACAAAUGGAAAAAAGGUCUGCAUGCAUCUGAAGCCACCUUUUGCAGGUGUUUUUCAAAAGUCGUUAAUUUGUAUAGCCCUUAAUCACAGACGAGUCAAAACAAAAACAAAACGUAUUCCCUCAUUUAAGAAUGAAAUAAACCUCUGUCCAAACCGUCACAUUUUGGACUGUUACUAUGCAUUCAUCUUCCGUUCCGCUUAUCCUCACAAGGGUCGCGGGCGUGCUGGAGCCCAUCCCAGCUAUCUUCGGGCGAGAGGCGGGGUACACCCUGAACUGGUCGCCAGCCAAUCGCAGGGCAGGACUGUUACUAGUCCACAUUAAAACAAUAUUCACAAUGAGAUGAAUACCACAACAACAGGUGGUCCAAUAAACCAUACAGCCAUUUUAGCCAUUCAGACGCCCCAAGCAAGUUAUUUCUACGAAAAAAACCCACAAUAACAAUUUAUGAAUAGGUGUGCAAAUAGUGAAAAAGAGUUGCUCAUCUAUAUCAUCUUAAAUGCAGUGGAACCUCCAACAUCAAACACAAUACAAGUGGUGAGCAUGUUUGCCUCACAGUCCAAGGCACUGACUUGUAAUAUUCGUUCCGGCCUCCCUGUGUUGAGCAUGUCCACAAUUUAAAAACAUGCACGUAAGGUCACUGGAAGACGACAUGUUCAUGGUUGUCUAUAUGUGCCCUACGAUUGACCGGUAACCAGUCCAGGGUGUACCAUGCCUCUCGCCCAAAUUAUGUGAUCAUACAUUGAAUGUGCUCUAAUCUUAAUAAAAAAAAUUAAUACAAAUGUGAGCGCUCUUUAGAGCAAAGCAUGGUACACAUCAGGUAAUGCUUAUUGGGAGAGGACAAUUCUAACCUUGUGACUUUUUGAAUGGCCACAGCAGCGUUAAUCAACUCCCAUUGCUUGGGCUCCAGGUUGGCUCACACCUGACU